AUGUCACCAUUCUCAAAUCCUUUCUUAUGUUCCUUUGAACUCACCUAUGACGCUUUAGAUUCUCCAAACUGUCAUCAAUGGCAAAACAAUGUAAUACUGCAUGACACUCUAUUUUUGACAGCCUGUUGUUUUGCUUCAAUGACCCCACCAUUAAUUAUGCCUUCAAAUCAAGUCAACAAUUUAUCUAAUGCGUCAUGUUGGUUUGUUUUAUUUCUCCAAGACAUUGAAGAUUUUGAGUCACACAGUGUUUCAGUCACAGAGACCCUGAACCAAUUGGCACCACGUGUGGCGGAUGAAAGAUUUCAGUCACAGAUUUUUUCACUGGCUCCUCAGUCUAACCUUGACAUACAGGAAGACGUACAGGUAGCCCCUACACAGGUGGGUGAGACGCAAGAGAAUGAGAAAGAGGACCUCUCCUCUGUCAUAUCACUCAUCAGCAGCCUGGCAGCACCUACAAAUACCCCAGUGUUACCUGUGGUUGAAAAGAAGCUUCACCGGCCUUCAAGGCCCACAAUGCUCUCCUCCUCAUUAUCCACUGGUACCAGUGCGCCACACCCCUUCUCCACACUCAUCCCUGGGGCUCUCUCAGCUAUCCUGCGUGCUACCCUGCCCCCUCACCUUACCUCUGACCCCAAGCCCAGGAGAGAGCCAGGUGCCCAGUGCCAACUGACCCUCGAGCAGCUGCGGACAGAGCUCCGGGACCUAAGGGAUGAGGUCGAACUGAUGAAGAGCCAGCACAACAAAGAGAUUCAACUGCUGAUGAAUGAGCUGGAUGAGGAGAAAAGGAUUCGCUUGUCAUUUACAGAUGGACGUGGCACAGAUGAAGAAGCACAAGUCUAA
rnacentral:lncRNA from 1 species